rnacentral:rRNA from 1 species
GACAGAGGGUGCAAACGUUGUUCGGAAUUACUGGGCGUAAAGCGCGUGUAGGCGGCUCGGAAAGUCGGAUGUGAAAUCCCCAGGCUUAACCUGGGAACUGCAGCCGAUACUGGAUGGCUUGAAUCCGGGAGAGGGAUGCAGAAUUCCAGGUGUAGCGGUGAAAUGCGUAGAUAUCUGGAGGAAUACCGGUGGCGAAGGCGGCAUCCUGGACCGGCAUUGACGCUGAUGAGCGAAAGCUAGGGGAGCAAACGGG